rnacentral:rRNA from 1 species
AUACGUAGGUGACAAGCGUUAUCCGGAUUUACUGGGCGUAAAGGGCGUGUAGGCGGUCUUGCAAGUCAGAAGUGAAAUUCCUGAGCUCAACUCGGGCGCUGCUUCUGAAACUGCAGGACUUGAGUGCUGGAGGGGAUAGCGGAAUUCCUAGUGGAGCGGUAAAAUGCGCAGAUAUUAGGAAGAACACCGGUGGCGAAGGCGGCCUGCUGGACGACAACUGACGCUGAGGCGCGAAAGCGUGGGGAGCAAACAGGAUUAGAUACCCUGGUAGUCCACGCUGUAAACGAUGAGUACUAGGUGUGGGGGGACUGACCCCCUCCGUGCCGCAGUUAACACAAUAAGUAUUCCACCUGGGGAGUACGAUCGCAAGAUUGAAACUCAAAUGAAUUGACGGGG